rnacentral:ncRNA from 1 species
UAAGGGCAAAUCAAUUGAAAAAUUGAGACGCAAAACCACAGGUCUAAUGUGUAAAAACUAUGACGGCUGGGUUACCGU